GUGUCAGCCGCCGCGGUAAGACAGAGGGUGCAAACGUUGUUCGGAAUUACUGGGCGUAAAGCGUGUGUAGGCGGCUGAGAAAGUCGGAUGUGAAAGCCCCGGGCUCAACCCGGGAAGUGCACCCGAAACUGUUCGGCUCGAGUCUCGGAGAGGUUGGUGGAAUUCUCGGUGUAGAGGUGAAAUUCGUAGAUAUCGAGAGGAACACCGGUGGCGAAGGCGGCCAACUGGACGAAGACUGACGCUGAGACACGAAAGCGUGGGGAGCAAACAGGAUUAGAUACCCCCGUAGUCC
rnacentral:rRNA from 1 species